rnacentral:lncRNA from 1 species
GCCCAGGAUAUUCUGUGAUGUCAGCGUAAGGAGGCUAAGCACAUUCCUUCUGAGAUAAGGGAAGAAGAGAAAACUUGCCUGUCUAGUGUAGUAGCAACUACUAAGUACAUCUUGUCCUUGUUUCUUGGGAUUUAUAUUUGGGGGUUUAAGUCGUCUAUUUUUGGUUUUUAAACAGAAGAUGGUCCAACUCCUGUAUGUUUAUAUAGAAAAUUCUACUGGAGGUGAUCCCAGUGCUAAUUGUUAACCAAUGAAUGUCACAAUAGCAUAGGCAAGAGCUCUCUGGACAGCAGGAGAAACAUGGAAACACAGAUACUUACAUGAAAUAGGCAGUGUGUUGGAAGCAUUACUGUCACCUCGUGUAUCUUCCCUUCAGUUAAAUCAGAAGGACAUAUCUGGCCAUUAAAACGUAACAUCUAAAAAAAUGGUGCAAACUGCUUGUGAAGUUCCAUGUGAAACAACUUCAGUUAAAGGUAUUUCUGAGCUUUUUUUCUUCUAUUGUACACCCUAAGCCCUUACCCUCAAUCAGAACAUGAUUGUAAAUUAAAUGUAUUCAUAGACGCUGCGAGACAAGACAAUGCAAGACGACAAUGAAGUCAGAAUAAUCUUGUGUGCAUAUGGAGAAUAACUUGUUCCACUGCUGUUGCCUCCUUUCACGGCAAACGUGUGGCAGAACUGCCUUUUCAAAAGUGGAUCAAAGAAUGCUACCAAUACAUUCUUCUCAUCUCCCAUUUAUCCUUCCAUGUCUGUCAUACAAACCAUUUAUUUUUAGGCUCCAAGGAAAGCAGAGAAAUUAAAUUUUCUGCCAACUUCAUUUCAAUGCCAUCUUCCUUUGUUUCUGAUUAAUUGGUGCACAGUGUGAUGUUCUUAAAUAAGCUGUUAUCUAACACAGUGGAAGUGAUGGAGAGGCAAGGGGAUCCCUGACAGUGACAUUACAGCUGCUACCUUAUAGGAGUGCUGUGGCUUUUCAUAUGUGAUUUGUGGUCUUCAGC